rnacentral:rRNA from 1 species
UACGGGGGGAGCAAGCGUUGUUCGGAUUUACUGGGCGUAAAGGGCGCGUAGGCGGCGCAUCAAGUCACUUGUGAAAUCUCCGGGCUUAACCCGGAGCGGCCAAGUGAUACUGUCGUGCUAGAGUGCGGAAGGGGCUACUGGAAUUCUCGGUGUAGCGGUGAAAUGCGUAGAUAUCGAGAGGAACACCUGCGGCGAAGGCGGGUAGCUGGGCCGACACUGACGCUGAAGCGCGAAAGCCAGGGGAGCGAACGGG